rnacentral:misc_RNA from 1 species
GAUGAAGAACGCAGCGAAAUGCGAUAAGUAGUGUGAAUUGCAGAAUUCAGUGAAUCAUCGAAUCUUUGAACGCACAUUGCGCCCUAUAGUAUUCUGUAGGGCAUGCAUGUUCGAGUGUCAUUUGUACCUUCAAGCUUUGCUUGGUGUUGGGUGUUUGUCCUCUCCCUGGUGUUUGGACUCGCCUUAAAACAAUUGGCAGCCAGUGUUUUGGUAUUGAAGCGCAGCACAAUUUGCGAUUCUGGCCUUAAAAUACUAGCGUCCAUAAGUACAUUCUCACUUUUGACCUCGGAUCAUGUAGGGAUACCCGCUGAACUUAAGCAUAUCAAUAAGCGGAGGA